CACGUAGUUAGCCGGGGCUUCUUAAUCAGGUACCGCCAUUUUCUUCCCUGCUGAUAGAGCUUUACAUACCGAAAUACUUCUUCACUCACGCGGCGUCGCUGCAUCAGGGUUUCCCCCAUUGUGCAAUAUUCCCCACUGCUGCCUCCCGUAGGAGUUUGGGCCGUGUCUCAGUCCCAAUGUGGCCGUUCACCCUCUCAGGCCGGCUACUGAUCGUCGCCUUGGUGAGCCAUUACCCCACCAACAAGCUAAUCAGACGCGGAACCAUCGUAUACCACCAGAGUUUUUCACACCACUUCAUGCGAAGCUGUGCGCUUAUGCGGUAUUAGCACCUAUUUCUAAGUGUUAUCCCCCAGUAUACGGCAGGUUUUCCACGCGUUACUCACCCGUCCGCCACUAACUCAUAAAUCACUAGGUUUCAAUAUGAGUCCGUUCGACUUGCAUGUGUUAAGCACGCCGCCAGCGUUCAUCCUGAGCCAGGAUCAAACUCU
rnacentral:rRNA from 1 species